GGCUGUCUUAGGGUACACCCUGGAUAGGUCACCAGGGUUUAAAGCUGAAGAAUUCCCUUGUUUGACACCAGUCCGACCAGACACCACUACCUGUGGUUUGGCUUCUUUGUGCUGUUUUUGCCUUGGGGGGGGUUUUUGGGUUGUGUGUUGAUUUUUUUAGAACUCACCUCACUUCCCUCUGUGCUUUGUGACUUUGAGAUAUUGCAGUGGAAAAAAAGCUGUUGAGCUAAAUCUGUUGACUUACCUACUUGUCUGCUGCCUCAUUCCUAAAAAGCUUCAUCAAUGUGUCAUGUUCACAGUUAACCUGUUGAACUUCUCUGACCAGCAUUUAAAUCAAAGGCAGAGUCUUAGUCUUGACACAGUGACAGGAUGAAAAUGUCAAAUUGAUUUCAGAUGAGACUGGCCAGAUACUCUUGAACUGAUAGAAAGGCAACAAUAACUCAAAUAACCACUCGUUACAGCCAAUUUAUUAAGAAGAGCAUCGCUGGACACAUCUUGUUGCACAGCAGCAGAAGACCACAUUAGAUGCCGCUCCUGUUAGGGCCACAGGACGCUGCAGCUGUUAGCACACCACUCCACUCGGUUACGGAUGAAGGACGCCUGCUUGGUUUCAAAGUCUGUAUGUGUUUGGAUGUGACGAACAUCUCAAAGGAUAAGGGUGGAAAAAAAUCACUUGAUGAACAGCAAAGAGGAAGAAAUGAAGGAGAAAAGAUAUGGUCAAGAAAGGGCAAGAAGUGAGCUGAUGACAGAACAGAGGAAAGUUUCAGCCUAUCUUUUGAGCAAUGACAUCUGAAUUCUGAAAACUGCUUCCAAGAAGAGACUGAUGGUUUUUAUUGGUCAUGUUUAACG